ACUGUGCGGACAGUGGCCCUAAAGCCCCGCCCCCGUCCUGCAGAUCCAAUGACGGUGCCGCCCCAGUAGGACCACGCCCACAGCCCCGCCCCGCCCGGGCACCGCCCAAGGCUCCCCUAGUGCAGAGGCGCUGGGUUGGGGUACAGAGGCCUCGCGCUCCCAAGGGCGCGGUCCUGCUUCCGUUGUUGCUGGCCGGCGCUGUCCAAUACCGGGGAUGGACUCCCUGGACUCAAGACUGUGCCCUCUGGAGCCAAACCCUUGGUUCUAGAAGGCCCGGGGAAGUGGCUGCUAGAAGACCCAAUUCUUCAUAUUCACUGGGCAUCACUGGACCUACUAAGGGCUGUGUCAGGGGAGGCCCUACUAUGCGAAUGAAUGGGGCAUUGGAAGUGUCCACGUUGAAAUCUUACAAACUCAUGAGCGUUUUGAAGAGCUUAUAAGCUCUCCUAGAAGAGCCAGAGGAGAGACAGAAAGAGAGACAGAGAGAAACCGCAGUGUGUGGUCUGGGCACACCUGUAUUUGCUGACCAGCUAGGUGACUUCCAGAGAGGAGGUGGGGCUCUGACUCACUCCAUGGACUCAUACAGUUAUUGACCGGCAGGACUUCACAGGGUCUGGAGAUAACUGAGGGAAACUCUGUCCUUGUUCCCUUCAGUGAUUCAACAGAUAUAUGUUGAGCAUCUGCUAUGGAUUAAGCUCUGGGAAUUCAGCACCCCCUGGGUUGGAGCCUACAGCACAGUAAAGGGAAAGUCAAGAAAUCCAAGGUCCCAAGCACAAAGUGAUAUCCUUCCAGGUGGGUCAGUGCUAAGAUUCAGGCAGAUGAAGAGGGGGAUAGUGAUCUGGUGAGGAGAUCUUCAUUGUCCACGGAGUGUCAGCCCAGAAGGUACAGUGGGUCCAGGAGGGUUGGCUCCAAGCUGUGAAUGUGGGAAGGGCCCUUAGUAAGGCGGGUGAGGAGGAAGGACGUUAGUGGUAGGGGGGUCUUGGUAGGCAGAAUGCUCACCCUGAGGUGUCCAUUUUCUAUAUCUUUGGAAUUUGUGAAUGUUUUAUUACAUCGAAAGAGGAAAUUACAGUUGCUAAAUCAGUUGGCUUAAGGCUAUUAAUAUUUGAGAUAGGGUCUCACUCUGUUAUCCAGGUUGGUCUUGAACUUCUGGGCUCAAGUGAUCUACCUACUUCAGCCUCCAGGGUAGCUGGGACGACAGGCAUGUGUCACGACGGCCAGCUCAGUUGACUUUAAGAUAGGCCAUCCUGAAUUAUCUGGGUGGGCCCAGUGUAAUAACGGGGACCCUUAAAAAUAGAAGAGGAGACAGAAGGGGAGAGUCAAAGAAAGAGACAUUGUUCUAGAAAAAGGGCCAGAGGUUGCCUUGCAGCUGUCUUUGAAGAUGGAGGAAGAGGCCAGAAGCCAAGGAAUUUGUGUAAGGAAAUAGAUCCCCUCCGAGAACCCCCAGAAGGAACAUGGCCCUGCUGACACUGAUCUUAACCCAGUGCAACCUGCGUUGAACUUCUGACCCACAGAGUAUGAGGCUGUCCCUUGGCUGGGGACCCCAGAGUCCCUGAGGAGGUUCUGCUGAAUGGAUGAGAUCUUUGUGUAUACACCCAGCAUCGCUGCAGGGACCUGCAAUUAAGCAUUUCUAAAAUGGGACUCCAGUUACUAAAACCGGCUUUCCCACACAGCUUCUCAGGAUGCCUGCCAAUCGCAGCUCUUCCCUCCUGCUCUUCACCCGCUUCAGAGAACUGGACCCAGCAGAGGCUGGGACCGGAGAUGGCGGGGCACUCCGCCUUAGCCCAGCCCGCUCCCUGGGCCUUGGGCCCCUCUUUGGGAGUUGCGUGGUGGCAGGGCCUUGCCGGAGGAACUUUUCUUUAUGCCUGAAGUUUGGCUUCUGGCCCAGUGACAUGGGGGUUUCCAGAAUGGUGACAGCCCUGUCCUAGCAGGGACAGGCCCAGGCACUUCCUCCCAGAGCCUCUGGGAACGUCAGCCCCACGGCUGUCCCUGGGCGUAGGGAACAGUUGUGGAGUCAGCAGAGGCCGUCUUCAGUGCUUCCCACGCCUUCAGGGACACCAUGUCAUUAAUCUCGAAACCCAUCUUCUCCUUGCCUAGGGCUGAGCUGGAGCAGAGAAGACACAGGUGGCCAAGCUGGGCCCAGCCCUCAGAGAACAGCUAACCCCUCAGGAAACAAAUAACCAACUCCAAGACAGCAGGAGGUGUGCCUCGGCCAGGGCCUGUGCUAGAGGCAGCUCUGAAUCACCCUGGCUCAGGUGGAGAACCCAAGAGAACAGCCAUGAGAAGGAGUCAGAAGGGCCUGGAGGAGGUGACAAGUGAGCAGGGUGUUGACAGGUGAAAGGGAGUUUGCUGGGCCGAGAAAGGGAAGGACACUGGAGCUGCCAUCUGUGUCCACUGCAGGCAGAGCAGGAAGAGUCCUGGUGAAGGCAAAGGCACUGGGUGAUCAGAAGGCAAGAGAGGUCCAGCAGGCCUGUCCUGGGGGUCAGUCCAGGGGGUGGAGGGUGAGCACUGUCUUCCCUGCCCGGCAUCUGUCCCUUUAUUCCGGCAUCGUCCAAAAUACAAUCUUGCAGAGUCUCCAGCAAUACAGUGCCUACCCCGAGCUCUAAAAGUGGGUUUGAAGCUUGUUCUUGGCCACGCUGGGCCAUUCCUAGGCUCAGGGAUGGGCGUGUAACACCAAUGGGCAUCAGCCUGGGGACUUACUGGGAGUCAGGGUUACGAAUGCCUAGAUGCCAGCCCCCAAAGGCUGCUGGUCAUUUUUACCACCCUGAGGGGAGAGCCUGCUGGAGAACAAACAGAGCCAAGCAGAGCCAGAGACUGAAUCUCAGUGAUGUUGCUCGUAAGCUCCUGGAUCCGGUCAUGCCUGAAACAGUUUCCAUUGCAUAAACCAACAAAUUCCAGUUCUGCUUAACUCAGUUGGGGUUAGUUUCUGUUACUGGCCACUGAGAGGUAAAAUCCUACUACAGAAUAACUGAAGGGAGGUGAUAGCUCCUGAGAGUUUCUGGCUGCCUCGGGAAGCCUAUCGAGGGCCUGUGGCCUGAUACGACUAGCAGUUUUUUCAUUUGAAUUACUUUUUGGAUAAGGACACGAUUUCGUGUGGUUCAAAAUUCAGAAAAUUCAAGAGGCAAAAUCUUACCUCUGUCACCCACUUCCCCUCCUGGAGACAAUGGAUGUGACCAGUUUCUUGUACCCCUGCUAGAGUUGUUCUUUAAGUUCAACCAAAGCCUCGCCCAUCUUUUUGUCACAAAUAGCCAAUAUGUAGACAAGUACAGCCCCAAAGUCCUGUAGGCCCUCAUGGGAGCCAGGGGAGGGCUGAACCCCUUGUUGGGGGCCUCCACUAUCCACACUGGUCUUCACUUUGCUUUUUUUUUUUCUCAGUUAACAUUAUAUUUUGGUUUGAAUAUGCUUUCUUUCCUCAGCAAACUCAGUUGAAGUUUAAUCCCCGUUGUGAGCCAGUGUGGUGGUGCACGAUAAUCCCAUCAGCCCAGGAGGCCCAAGCAGGAGGAUCGAGAGUUCAAAACCAGCCUCAGCAACUUAGCGAGGCCCUAAGCAACUCAGCAAGAUCCUUUUUCUAAAUAGAAUGCAAAAAAGGGCUGGGGUCGGUGGUUAAGCAGGUUCAAUCCCUAGUACCCCAAAUAAAUAAGUAAGUAAAUAAAUAAAUAAACAAAUAGAUCCCCAUCGUGAGGCAUUGAGAGAGUAGAAAUUUAAUCUGACCAAAAAUGGAGAUAAGUCUUUGUGGGGUGAUUAGGAUUAAAGUCAUGGGGUGGGCCCUUCCCCAUGAUUGGAUUCUGGUGGCUGGUGAUCCAGGCUCAGGGAUGCUACUUCCAGCUACUUGGGAGGCUGAGGCAUGAGGAUUCCCAAGUUCGAGGCUAGCCUGGGCAACUUUGCAAGACUGUUUCUCAACAUAAAAAUAUAAAGAGGGGUUGGGGAUGUGGCUCAGGGUAGAGAUCCCCUGGUUCAAUCCCCAGUGCCACCUCCCCCACUGCACACACUCUCCACACUCUCUGUCUCUUGUCAUUUCAUACCCCAUGCAGCAUGGAGGCUCUGCCAGCAAAAGGCCAUCACCAAGAUGUGGCCCUUCCACCUUGGACAUCUGGUCCUGUGAGCCAAAUUAAACCUCUCUUCUGAGGACAUGGAGGUGGACACCUGUAAUCCCAGCCGGAUGUGGCUCACUGGUAAAGCACCUCCAAGAUCAAUUCCUGGUACAAAAACAAACCCUCUUUUCUUUAUUGCCUCCCAGUCUACGGUAUUGUAUGAAGAGUAACAGAAACAGAACUAGUGCCUCUGCACCAGGAUGAGGAGUGUGUUCUCCAGAUCACAUUUUUACACCUAUAUGGUUUUCCAGCUCAGGAGUAGACUGUGAGUCACGGAGGCACGUCUGGGGGGCGGGGGUGGGGGCAGCAAGUCAUGCUGUCAGUGCUGUUCCUCACGUGCCUGAGAGACUUCUAGCAAGAUGUAAGGGAGGCCCUGUACCGCUGUGCAGGCCUGUAAUCCCAGCAGCCCAGGAGGCUGAGGCCGGAGGAUCACAAGUUCAAAGCCAGCCUUAGCAAUUGAGCAAAGCCCUAAGCAACUUAGUGAGACCCUGUUUCAAGACAAAAUAUAAAAAGGGCUGGGAAUGUGGCUUGGUGGUUAAGUGCCCCUGGGCUCAAUCCCUGGUAUCAAAAAAAAAAAAAAAAAAAGGGUGAACGCGACAAAUCCUUCCCAAGCUCCCCCACCCCUAAGCCUGAGCCUCUGCACCCCUUCCCAGAGGCCU